UCGAUGCUGGACGUUUUAACACAUGAAUAUUGUUUGUGUAAUGUAGUCAUAAUAUUUACGCGGGGACGCAAGAGGAGUGAGGUGGAAGCUCCUCCGAACUCUGAACACAGAAACUCGGACUGGGACUUGAGAUCGACUUCUGCAGGCACUUCUCCAUCGAAUGAUCGUGGAAUUGAAAAAAGACUCAAUCCCACACAGUGAGUUCGAGUCUGUUUGGUGCCCCACCCUGGAGUCCUGCACACCUCCCAGGGCCGGUCCAUCAUGGUCUGUCUAAUGCAGGCAAAGACAUCAAUAAUGAGAGCUGAAGCAGAAACCACAGCGGAGAACACAAAAGAGAGAGGGAGGGCGCACACAGGCCACAAUUGGCUCUGCUGCAGGCUAGAGUGGGCAGGCAUGCGGCUUUGGCCACAGGAAGCUGUGAAUUCUUUGGAGAAUGGAAGAUGUCUGAUGGAGAGACAUACUGGCCCUCCACCCACCCACUCACCACCUCAAAAUGACCCCUGACCCUUUUCAUGUGUUUAUAUCAGACCGUGGAAGUGAGAAAUAGUGAUGAGUCACUCUGGCUGUGUGUUUACACUCUGGAGUCACGCAAGGAAGGAAAUCAGCCACGGUCUGCUAAAAGUGGCGAGGUGAGAGAGAAUAGCUGCAGUCCCGAGUGCUGCAGUGAUUUACCUCAGAGCCAGAAUUUGCUUCGUGUCAUCUCUGCUGUGAAAACUUUCAACCUGCAGAAAAGCACAGUAGACCUUUGUGGAAGAAAAGGGCCAAAACAAGUAGUAGUCACUGGGGAUAGGUGUGCGUAUGAGAGAGAGAUACGGCAUAUUUCAGGAAACAUAACAGUUAGA